AGAAUCCUUUUUAGCAGCCAUCAAAAUCUUAUCAGGAGACAAACCCUUUCUCUUUAAUAUCUGGUAUUCAGACACCAUGCCGUCAAUUUGAAUUUCCUCACAGUUGGAAGUGGUACCAUGGAGUGUUCCAGUAUGUCUACUGACAAGGGAAGUUUCCAAAAGGUUGAUCCGGGAAUAUUUAGGAGAACUGAGAACCAACUUCUUC